AGGAAUCCAGCCACCAACAGCAAGUAACACUGGUCAGAAGGCUACAGUUGCAGAGCAGGAAUUAUACAGGAGGUAUGAGCAGGAGCAGGCCCUGGUUCAAGAGGAGCUGCUCCGGCUGGC